UAAAGUGCUUAUAGUGCAGGUAGUG
rnacentral:ncRNA from 5 species